GUGAAAGGUCACCGUUUUCGGUUAGGACGGAACGGCAACGCUAGUAAACAGUCUGCUCUGUUUGUUUAUUGUUGUUUUUUUUUUUAAUGGAGGGUUGUAGAAAAUUUAGUUCUUUUGACCAGUUGAAAACUUGGAUCAGUAAUAAAGAAAAGACGGACAAUAUUAAAUUAAGAAUAGGUGACUCGAGAACAAUUGCGUGCGUUCGUAAACGUGGGAUCAUAAGGUUUAUUAAUGAACAAUUGAAAUAUUAUGAAAUUACGUACAGAUGUAUCCAUAGUGGACACAGAAUCAGCAAAUCAUCUGGUCAGCGCCCUGGUCAAAGGUAAAAUAGCACUUUUAGGAUAGGAUGCCCUUUUUUCAUGCGGCUCAGUGCAUCUUCCGAUGGUCAACAUCUUGUAGUACAAAAGUUUUUGGAUCAACACAACCAUGAACACACAAAGGUAUGCUUGUGCCGGAUAUUUGGUUUCUAAGAAGCAAAAUUAAAAUACUUUAACCACUUAUAGAUAAGAAUUUCUAAAGCUCGAGGAUAAGAAGAAUGUCAUGGAGACAGAUGAAGUAUAUGAACCAAAAUCAGCACCAACACAGAAGCUGGCUACCACAAAUUUUGUGUAAGAUGGGUGCCAAAAAUGCUUACAGAUCACCAUAAAGAACAACGAAUGGGGGCAGCUGUGACGUUUUUGAAGGCCUACCACAGUCAUGGUGAUGCACUACUGAAUCGAAUCGUAACAAGAGAUGAAACCUGUCAAUUUUGAGUCAAAAUUACAGUCCAUAGGUGGGGGCACACUUGUUUCCCUAAAAAACCAAUGAAAUAUCUGCAAAAUGUUUUUGGCAAGGAAGAUCAUAGCAACAGUGUCCUGGGACAGCCACUGAAAACCAAGAUGAUAGUCCAGUCCUAUGAUGGUGAAUUAAAAGCAACAAGCUGCUCAGAGUUACUGUCCGAGGUUGUUUGUAAUGGAAUGUUAGAAAUCGCCUCUGAAGAUGCUAUUGAAGGUGCAGGUGACAAUGGACACAAUACCCUGGUCUUGACAGACAAUUUAAUACAGAAGUGUUCAAGAGUGACUCCAGAAAUUAGAAGGUUAAAGAGGAAACGGAAGUAUGAUAAAUUUGUGAAAGAUGAUCCAGCUUCAACGAACUCACAAGAGGGUGGCAGGUACUGAAAAUGAGCCUGAUCUUACACAGCAUUGUUCACCUCAAAAGCCAGAUGAAUAUGACCUCUUUGCUCAACAUAUAGCAGAACAGCUACGUAAACUACCUACACAGAGAUUUAUUGUAUUGCAAGACAAAAUUCAGAGGCUAGUUACGUCUGAAAGAAUAGAACACCUGUCAGAAGUUUCAGAGCAGUGUAGUUCCAAUGUCAGUUCCGCUUCUCCUCCCACAAGAUGAAAGGACUGAAGAGA